rfam:Tupaia chinensis contig95032, whole genome shotgun sequence.
GGUCAUGACUUUCUUGGUGACCCAAUACUAAACCUGGAAUGAUACAGUCAGCAUGGCCCCUGAGAGAGGAUGACACACAGAUUGAGGAAGUGCUCCUUCUUUUU